rnacentral:sRNA from 1 species
UACUGCUCUCUCUGUCUCUCUUUACUUCUUUUCUCUCACAAUCUUCUUCAGUGCUCUCUUCUCUCUCUCUCUCUGAGUUUGUAUCAGAUUAUGUGACUGUAAGAUGUCACAGAUGACACAGUCUUUUCUUCAUUUUUUUCUUUAUUUUUCUUUUCAGAACACUCAUUUUUUCUCUUUUCUUUUAUCUAUUUCAUCUGUUUUUCUUCUAUUGUUAGAAGUGCAGAUAGUUCUCAGAUCAACUGAGAGAGAUAUCUCUCUUCAUUCACUAUAAAAUCUUUCAGACACAGCAGCAGCAGUUCUCUUGAGAAUCACACUAUAGCUUCAUCAUAAAUGAUCAUAC